rnacentral:rRNA from 1 species
CCCUUAGAUGUUCUGGGCCGCACGCGCGCUACACUGACGAAGUCAGCGAGCAUGUCCUACGCCGACAGGUGCGGGGAAUCUUGUCAAACUUCGUCGUGAUGGGGAUGGAUUAUUGAAAUUCUUGAUCAUCAACGAGGAAUUCCUAGUAAGCGCAAGUCAGCAGCUUGCGUUGAUUACGUCCCUGCCCUUUGUACACACCGCCCGUCGCUACUACCGAUUGAAUGGUUUAGUGAGAUCUUCGGAUUGGCGCCACUGCGGCUCAGCAAUGGGCUCGGUGGAUGCCGAAAAGUUGAUCAAACUUGAUCAUUUAGAGGAAGUAAAAGUCGUAACA